UGCAUAUCAAUAAGCGGAGGAAAAGAAACUAACAAGGAUUCCCCUAGUAACGGCGAGUGAAGCGGGAUGAGCUCAAAUUUGUAAUCUGGUGGACUCAGUUCAUCCGAGUUGUAAUCUAUAGAAAAGUUUUCCGCGCCGGACCGUGUCUAAGUCCCUUGGAACAGGGUGUCAGAGAGGGUGAGAAUCCCGUGCUUGAUACGACCACCGGUGCUAUGUGAUACUUUUUCAACGAGUCGAGUUGUUUGGGAAUGCAGCUCAAAAUGGGUGGUAAAUUCCAUCUAAAGCUAAAUAUUGGCGAGAGACCGAUAGCGAACAAGUACCGUGAGGGAAAGAUGAAAAGCACUUUGGAAAGAGAGUUAAACAGUACGUGAAAUUGUUAAAAGGGAAACGAUUGAAGUCAGUCGUGCUCUCUGGGACUCAGCCGGUUCUUCCGGUGUAUUUCCCAGUGAGCGGGUCAACAUCAGUUUAGAUCGCUGGAUAAGGUCAUUAGGAAUGUGGCUCCCUCGGGAGUGUUAUAGCCUAGUGUCGCAUACAGUGGUUUAGACUGAGGAACGCAGCUCGCCUUUAUGGCCGGGGUUCGCCCACGUCCGAGCUUAGGAUGUUGACAUAAUGGCUUUAAACGACCCGUCUUGAAACACGGACCA
rnacentral:rRNA from 1 species